rnacentral:rRNA from 1 species
UACGUAGGGAGCAAGCGUUGUCCGGAUUUAUUGGGCGUAAAGAGCUCGUAGGCUGUUCGAUACGUCGGGUGUGAAACCUCCAGGCUCAACCUGGAGACGCCACCCGAUACUGUCAUGACUAGAGUCCGGUAGGGGAGCGUGGAAUUCCUGGUGUAGCGGUGAAAUGCGCAGAUAUCAGGAGGAACACCAGCGGCGAAGGCGGCGCUCUGGGCCGGUACUGACGCUGAGGAGCGAAAGCGUGGGUAGCAAACAGG